AGAGUUUGAUCCUGGCUCAGAAUCAACGCUGGCGGCGUGCCUAACACAUGCAAGUCGAACGCGAAAGUGGAGCAAUCCAUGAGUAGAGUGGCAAACGGGUGAGUAACACGUGGGUGACCUGCCUUCGAGUGGGGGAUAACUUUCCGAAAGGAAGGCUAAUACCGCAUGACAUACCGUGUUCAGAUACACGGAUAUCAAAGCUGGGGAUCGCAAGACCUGGCGCUUGAAGAGGGGCCCGCGUCCGAUUAGCUAGUUGGUGAGGUAACGGCUCACCAAGGCUCCGAUCGGUAUCCGGCCUGAGAGGGCGGACGGACACACUGGGACUGAGACACGGUCCAGACUCCUACGGGAGGCAGCAGUGGGGAAUUGUUCGCAAUGGGCGAAAGCCUGACGACGCAACGCCGCGUGGAGGAUGAAGAAUUUCGGUUCGUAAACUCCUUUCGACCGAGAUGAACAUCCCGCGAUCUAAUAAGUCGUGGGACUGACAGUAUCGAGAGAAGAAGCCCCGGCUAACUCUGUGCCAGCAGCCGCGGUAAUACAGGGGGGGCAAGCGUUGUUCGGAAUUACUGGGCGUAAAGGGUUCGUAGGUGGCCAACUAAGUCAGACGUGAAAUCCCUCAGCUUAACUGGGGAACUGCGUCUGAUACUGGUUGGCUUGAGUGCAGGAGAGGAAUGCGGAAUUCCAGGUGUAGCGGUGAAAUGCGUAGAUAUCUGGAGGAACACCGGCGGCGAAGGCGGCAUUCUGGACUGUAACUGACACUGAGGAACGAAAGCCAGGGGAGCAAACGGGAUUAGAUACCCCGGUAGUCCUGGCCCUAAACGAUGAAUGCUUGGUGUGGCGGGUAUCGAUCCCUGCCGUGCCGAAGUUAACGCAUUAAGCAUUCCGCCUGGGGAGUACGGUCGCAAGGCUGAAACUCAAGGAAUUGACGGG
rnacentral:rRNA from 1 species